CAGAAGAUAGUUUAAUUAAAAUAUUAAUUUUGGAGAUUAAAGCUGAGAUUUUCUUUCUUUCUUCUGA
rnacentral:tRNA from 1 species